GACGAACGCUGGCGGCGUGCUUAACACAUGCAAGUCGAACGGAAAGGCCCUGCUUUUGUGGGGUGCUCGAGUGGCGAACGGGUGAGUAACACGUGAGUAACCUGCCCUUGACUUUGGGAUAACUUCAGGAAACUGGGGCUAAUACCGGAUAGGAGCUCCUGCUGCAUGGUGGGGGUUGGAAAGUUUCGGCGGUUGGGGAUGGACUCGCGGCUUAUCAGCUUGUUGGUGAGGUAGUGGCUUACCAAGGCUUUGACGGGUAGCCGGCCUGGGAGGGUGACCGGCCACAUUGGGACUGAGAUACGGCCCAGACUCCUACGGGAGGCAGCAGUGGGGAAUAUUGCACAAUGGGCGGAAGCCUGAUGCAGCAACGCCGCGUGCGGGAUGACGGCCUUCGGGUUGUAAACCGCUUUCGCCUGUGACGAAGCGUGAGUGACGGUAAUGGGUAAAGAAGCACCGGCUAACUACGUG
rnacentral:rRNA from 1 species